AUACUUACCUGGCACAGGGGACGCCGUGAUCAAGACGGCGGCUCCCUCAGGAUGAGGCCCCUCCAUUGCACUCCGUUGGGGCUGAGGCUUGCGAUUUCCCCAAACGUGGGAAACUCGGGUGUACAAUUUAUGGUAGUGGGGGUUUGCGUUCGCGCAGUCCCUGC